CCGUCCCUUUAACUUCUGGGGUCCUCAUGUGUAUUUCCGGGUUUUCCACUGUGCUGCUGCUCACUGUUGGUUAUGGCGUUGGUUGUUCAUAAAACAAUCUGAAAUCUCCAAAUCGACUCAUCACUGAACAAUUUCAUCCCUAAAACUCGAGGAUCUGCGGUGAGUUGUUGAAUACCAUCUGAACUUGACCUUGUAUCUGCAAUAAUAGCGCCGCUAAUGUAGCCGCUGCAAUCCUCACCAGGUUGGGAUUCGUUGACGCCUGGUAUACAAGUUAACAUUGCAUCCACCUCCUCAGACAAUCCGUUACUCGACGAUACAGCUUUGAAGGGGUGCUUCUGUCUAUCUAUGGGAUGAACCGAUCAGAGCUGGAGUGUCCUGGGAAGGUGUGUAGGUUCCAACAGCCUGAAGAGGUUCUACAGCUGUUAAAUGUGGAAGAUGCUGAGCUCUACAUUGAUUUCAUUGUCCUUGGUAUCUUCUUUAUAGUUCUUCGACUGACCACUUACCUUGUCCUAUGCUACAAGGUCAAGUCUGAGAUAGAUUUUUCUGUCCUUUUCAAUAGUCUCAUUCUGAUGCACAGAGUAUGAGAUGUCAUUAUAAACCUGGGAAGUUUGCGUACUCAAUUUUCUCUGCUGCUAAAUGGACAGAACACAAACUCUUCUGCCAAGCAACAACUGGAGUGACAGUUCAGAGAGGCCAUCAAAUGGAUCAGCUUUCUCUGUUUUACCUCAUUUAAACUGUUGAAUCCACAAAGAUACAUUAACAGUAAGACUGAGCCACUUUCCCCAGCAGAGUUCCUCUGGCAUAUGUUUGAAAAGAUGUAGAAAUUUUGUUGCCUUACUGCAACAUAUUGAAACAUGUUGUUAAGCUCACAAAGUGAAAGGUGAAAAGUCCUCCACAUGAAGAUGCAUACUGAAGUGAAAACAUACUUAAAUUGUUUGAAGGUUUGAUCAAAAAGGCUAACUCAAACAUGUUUCUGUUUCAUUUAAUUAAAGAUAAAGCCCUUUUAGCACUGCAGGGUCCGGCCUGGCUCAAACCGGCUCCUUUCGACACGGACCUAUUGGUGCUAUGGCCCUGGUCGUUUUGCAUUGAGCAGGAUACAUCACGUAAAUCCGAGGCAAUCUCCCCAGAGACUGCAGAACAGAUUUCGUCUUGGGUCUCCCGUCCUUCUUUUUCUGUAUGCGCUCAUGAUUGUGGAAGCUGAGGGAUAUAUUUACCUCAGCUUUACAUUUAACGAAAAAAAAAAAUCUCAUCUGAAUGUCGUCUCUGAGCUGGAUUCGCAGCCAGCUGAACUACUGCUGCGGCAGGUGGGAUUUCCCGGCUGGAGCGACGCCAGAUGCGGAAAUCCCCUCGUUUACAGCCUUGGCGACUUCUGAUCGGUUCAAUUGGAGAAAUGUUAUUUACAUUUACCAUUAAAAUCUUUGGCUGAAGAGGCGAUUGUAAUCCCAGUGUAGGGUAAGAAUAGAUUAUGACGGGAAUUUAUUGAUGCAGCAUAUUGAAAUGACAGCCAUCGAGAAAGUCUAGUACUCCUCUGAUCCAGAGAUCUGGCCUUUGUCCCGCCCCUGCAGCCAACAGCUAACUCCAACCCGGCCUGGUCUGACCGGCCCGAUUGGAACCGCAGCUCUCGGGGUUCCAGGGAGUGGGGUGGUACCGGGCUGGAAGUGCUAAUGCAAAAACGAUUAAAGCCCGACCGACCCGGGUUGACCUGGGUCCAGCUGUGCAGUGCAAAAGGGACAGGAUGUGCAGGCAUGAUUAUCUUAUCCAGUAAUUGAAAGGUUUACUUAUAGGACAAAUAUUUUUCAUGGCAAUUCAGUGUAAGACCAGACUUGAAAGAAGUCGCUUUGUUCAUGGACACCACAGCAGCUCACCUGCCUCCUUCACUGUGUUUGUGAAAAUUCACUGGGGGAAAAAAACCCUCCCUCCAUCCACACUGCAGUAUUGUUCUUCUUUUUCUUCCACUCUUUCAUAUGUUACUUUGGAUGAUUGACCCCAGGUACUUCAGCCCAUUUGCUUUUAGUACGUCUUCACUUAGAGGUGUCACUUUUUUACUCGCAUCUCUUUCAUUCACACCCAUUUAUUUUGUAAUUCGUCAAAAUGCAUCAUAACAGCUGUCUCAUGUUUAUUCUAUGGAGUGCUUAUUGGAGUCUUGGAGCUGAUAACCAAAACUGCCUCUUAAACAGAAUUUUAAAAAACAAGGUGCUUAGACUGUCUCCAAUGUUAAUAAAGUUAGGAAAUUUGUGUUUGUUUAAAUGUUGCAAAUGUAGUUAGAAAACUGGUUAAUUUCCCUUUUUAUAGUACCAUAGUGUUUGGAAACCUGCCUUAGCUGAGCAUUAGAUGAUUUUGCCAGUAAUUGAGUUUAUGUAUUUUCGACUGAAGUUUGAAGAUAUGAGACUUAUUGGGAAUUUAAAAUUUUAUGUGACACAGGAGAUUCAUUAGUGCAUAGAAUAACUACACAUAGCCACAAGAACCUGGUGUCUUGUCGCAUUUGGUUUCACACUAUGAAUUUCAUAUUUGUUGCAAGUCAGUCUUUAUUUCAUUUAUUAUAUAAUUUUGUAACAGGAAAAGAUUAAAAGGAAUUGGGCCUUGCGCAGCAUAAAUCCUGCUUUUCAGCAGGUUCUUCUACAGAACAUAAAGCACACAUCCAACAUCGCAUAACAUUAAUAGAGACACACACACACACACACAUACCAAUUUACAAAACAGAAGAAUACACAGCAGAUGUCUAACAAUGAUUUUUAAAAAAAGUGUCCAACAGAUGAUGCACAUGAGACAUCUUAAGAAGUACCAAUGUUGAAAUCAACUUUAUAUGUUGUGGAAUGUCAUUCCAUGCUUUAGAAUAAACAUAGAAAAAUUAUCUCUGGCCGUAACAGUUUUUAAAGGCUGGUAGUGGUAAGUAUUCAUUGGUAACAAACGUAGUCGAGUGACCAUUUCUAAGAUUGAGUUUAGGGAUCACGGCUGAAAUAGCUACACAUGAAAAACCUGAAAAUACAUGGCUGGGCUAUUCGCUCUGGCAUGAACAACAUGCCUAAGCUGAUCCCACCUGUCAAGACUGCAGGCAAGGCCAUCCAAUAAUCUUCAUUCCCAAACUGUGGAGGUGCGCUGAUAAACCCCUCUAUGUAUGGGACAGCAUUGUCUUCCUUGAGGACAGUUUGUUCGCAGACUGUAGAGAGAGAUUACCACUGGUUGUAGAUUCUAUUCUUGUUAUCUCUCUGGAUUUAGAUUGACACUAAAGACAACAAGCCAACACU